AUGAGAAGAGGUCAGUAAAGCUGUGUCGCGCCGGCGGAGGAGGAGGAGGAGGGGGAGGCUGGGAUGGAGGGCGGCUGUUGAAGAGCUCUUCUAAUGCUGAAACACAACAGAGGCCACCGACAACACUGAGUUCUCUGCUCUGCCUUGAUUGAUGCGUAUUCCACGAGGAGCUAAGUGGCUGCCUAUAAAACUGGAGCCGUGUGCUGGGACCACAUGCUGAAGAGCGGCUGGCAUGCUGUCUUUUAGAGAGAGGCCAAAAGAGGAGGGCAACGGGAGGUGCAAGGAGAAAACCUUCAGAAAUUCAACAUUUAUGUCGUGCUGUCACUUGGGGCCAUCAAAGAGCUUCAAGUGGGACUGGCAGACGGGGAGCGGAUGGCCCCUUUCUGGAUGAGGUCAAGUCGUGGCGGGACAGGAGGAAGGCCAAGGUGCUGGACGCAAUGACCGGGGUCCCCUAUAUGGGCUUUCCUGUGUUGGCUGACAGGUGAAG